rnacentral:lncRNA from 10 species
AAUGACCUGUUUGGGAGAAAACAGAUUAAGCAGGGGAUGGAGGAGUUUUGCAAUGUUUACCUCAAUGAAAGAUUGAUCUUAUAUAUGAUCAAUAUUUAACCAGUCAAUAAAUACUUUGUUCUUAUAAAAAUACCAAGUAGAAAAUGUAAAGGCAUCUUCUAUGUAAAACAUUAAAAUAUUUUCUUCUAUAUUCACAUAUUUAAAUCAUUUCUAAUUUCUAAGAUUUUCAACUUUAAAUAAGCAGAAGUCAUAAAUUAGAGCCCCAGAAGAUAAAUUUAACAUCCCUUCAAGGCAACCCCAUUUAAACCUUUCUAAACAGAAAAGAAUUCAAAGGCCUUUUUCAGAAAUCCAUCCUAAAGGAUAAAAGCAUUCAGAAAAACUUCCCUGUAUUUACCAUAAAUCCUUCUUGAUGCUUGCUUUAAGUUAAUUUCCCCCUUCUUUUCUUCAGGGAAGAUGGAAAACAGCUGUUCAACGUUCCCUUUCAGGCUACUUUUUUCCUUCCUGACAGGUCCCUACCCUCCUUGGGAGAAAUGUAAACACUGCAGGUGAUUCCAAAAUCCAGUUGGCCCAAGUCUGAUUACCCAUGGGGUUGGUGAGCCUGCCCCCAUUCAUACCACCUCUCAUACAGUUUCUGGAAG